rnacentral:rRNA from 1 species
UACAGAGGGUGCGAGCGUUGUCCGGAAUCACUGGGCGUAAAGGGCGCGUAGGUGGCGACCCAAGUCUGUGGUGAAAGCUCGACGCUCAACGUCGAGUCGGCCAUAGAUACUGGGUUGCUCGAGCACUGUAGAGGCAGGUGGAAUUCCGGGUGUAGCGGUGGAAUGCGUAGAGAUCCGGAAGAACACCGGUGGCGAAGGCGGCCUGCUGGGCAGUGGCUGACGCUGAGGCGCGACAGCGUGGGGAGCAACAGG